rnacentral:rRNA from 1 species
CCUANGGGGGGCAGCAGUGGGGAGUAUUGGACAAUGGGGGCAACCCUGAUCCAGCAAUGCCGCGUGGGUGAUGAAGGCCUUCGGGUUGUAAAGCCCUUUCGGCGGGGACGAUGAUGACGGUACCCGCAGAAGAAGCCCCGGCUAACUUCGUGCCAGCAGCCGCGGUAAUACGAAGGGGGCUAGCGUUGUUCGGAUUGACUGGGCGUAAAGGGCGCGUAGGCGGCCUAUUUAGUCAGGCGUGAAAGCCCCGGGCUUAACCUGGGAAUUGCGCUUGAUACUGAUGGGCUGGAGUGCGGGAGAGGAUGGUGGAAUUCCCAGUGUAGAGGUGAAAUUCGUAGAUAUUGGGAAGAACACCGGUGGCGAAGGCGGCCAUCUGGACCGUAACUGACGCUGAGGCGCGAAAGCGUGGGGAGCAAACAGGAUUAGAUACCCCANUANUC